AUGAGAUGACACACAGAUGCUCAGGCAGCAGCUUCCCGGUUCCCAUGACUACAUUACAUUUAUGCUUUGUUAGUCAAAUCGGGAAACAUCCACUCAGGCAUGGUCAAAGAGAAUGGGGAAGCUCAAAUUGUCAAAAACAAUGAAAGAGAAACUCACUAAGAUGGCAGCUUUUUUUUAAGGAAAGACGAGGAACACAAUAUCAAUGCAAAUUCAAAAAAGAAUCCUCAAGCUCAACAGAUAUUUGUAGUCUACUAUUUGUAACACCUGAUGACAACAGCCAUAAAGCAUGAUAGCAAUGUCACUGAUUUUUGUAAAGACCAUCAUCCCUCAUAUCACAUGAACCAUAACCAGCUGGCACAUAACAUUCUGAGAGCCAUAUGUUUCUGAGAGCUGGGUGAGAGUGAGUUUGUCCUAUGAUUAUUUUGCAUUCAGAUGUUAAGAAACGUUCUUCUGUGGGAAUGUCAGUACUUCUGCAAAACUUUUUCUACUGGUUUCCUCGUGAUUCAAUAGAUAGUCAUGCUCUCAAAAUGUUCAGAGAACAUUCUUCUGUGGGAAUUUCAGAACACUUGAGUAACAUUCAGAGAACAUUCUAAGAAUAUUAUUUAAAAACAUAAAUUCCAUUCUCAGAAGACAAGAAAACAAUAGUAACGUUCAAAGAACGUUCUAAAAAAUAAUAGGACAGAUACAUUCCAUUCUCAGCUUCAACAAAACUCUCUCUAUCCUCUAUCUAGGUAAAAAUACCAUAUACCAUGCAGAUAUCACCCUGCCAUUUCCAGGUUGCUAAAAUUCUAAUAGUUUAUGUGACAAAACAAGCAGUGAUUGUGUAGAGGAUCAUUGUACCAUCUAAACCGCUGUGAAAUAGAUUUUCCAUAACCAAAAAUAUUGUAUUUUUAGCUGUUUGAAGCUGGAGUUCAAAACUGAAAGUAAAAGACUAAAAAACUAAAUUUAAGCAUGAAAUUGCUUACAUAGAACAGAUCUACCACUUCUAAGACUGGCUUUCAAUGACAAUGACAGAUCACACAUUUUUAAUACACAUUUCUAUGCGAAUUUGGUCAGGUCGCCCAAAAAGUGAUUGUAGCUUUAAGUGUGUUCAGGUGUGAUCACACUUAAAUUGGCCACAUCUGAUAUUAAUGAGUGCUUGUUUCCUUUGAAAUGGGGUCUGUUUGAAUAGACUAAUGAACAGUUUUCUAUGGGUAUGCUAGCUCCAGCCUGGUGUUGCAGUGGAAUAGUUCCAUCGAUAGACAACAGAAGAUCAGAGCCCUGUUUCAGAAAGCAGGUUUAAACCUGAACUCUGGGUUGACUAACUCUGAGCUGUCAAACUCAAGAGUUUUCAGUUUCAGAACAGGUGAUAACAAUUAGUUCAAUCAACUCUGAGUUAAGUUAACCCUGAGUAAAGUACACACAUGAGGAGAUAAAAAGCCCUGGUCAAUAGAACGCAGAUAACAUGAUUCAUCAUGGAAACAGGAGAGAAAAGGGCUCAAACCUCCUACUUCUCCCCAGUGGAGUUAUAUAUUAAUGAAUGUGUAUGUGGAAUAUGAGUAUAUAUUUAAGAAAAAACAAUACAGUAGCAGCAGAAAAAGAAUGUGAGCUGGCGUGGCAGAAAAUUCCUGACCGAGUCAAUGUGUGCAACCCAACAGGCACAAAAUGUACAUGGCAGCAACUGAAUAUGAAAUAUAAAAAUUUCCUUCAAACAGAUUUGACCUCCAUUAUAGCCAAUACAAAAAAGGCUGAGGGACAGAAAACCGGUGGGGGCCCUCAAUCAAAACAGUGGGUGACCUAUUGCUGAAGGCGUCUCUGGAGGAAGCUCAUCUGACCCAACCACCCCCCAGAAAGGCCUACAUAAAAGUACAACCCCAAAAUGGUUCAUUUUCAUUACAGGAGGAUGACGAAGACACCUUGUCAGCUGCAACAAAGAGGGGGAAAAUACAAGCAAUUCUGUAAAUUACAAUGAGGAAGAGGGUCCAUCCACCUCCAAAAUUCAACAAGAUGUUGUUCAGCAUUAGCCCAUGACUUACAAUGAACCCAAGUAGACCUGGCACUGAAACGUACUGUCAUUUUUUUGUGUUCCUAUAGCUCUUGUGUGAAACCACUGUGCAAGGUGUACUUAGAGAAACAAAUUGAAAAAUGAAAUCUAGAAAUUGACCAAGGCUGGAGAUGUAAAAUAUAAAAAUAGAAAUACAACUGCUAGAACAUCAGUUUUGUUUGAGCAACAUAAAAAAUAUUAACUACUGUACUGCAUUUGUACUUGUAGAAAAUAAAGACUUCAUAAA